AUUGAACGCUGGCGGCAUGCUUUACACAUGCAAGUCGAACGGUAACAGGGUGCUUGCACCGCUGACGAGUGGCGAACGGGUGAGUAAUGCGUCGGAACGUGCCGAGUAGUGGGGGAUAACGCAUCGAAAGGUGUGCUAAUACCGCAUACGUACUGAGGUAGAAAGUGGGGGACCUUCGGGCCUCACGCUAUUCGAGCGGCCGACGUCUGAUUAGCUAGUUGGUGAGGUAAAGGCUCACCAAGGCGACGAUCAGUAGCGGGUCUGAGAGGAUGGUCCGCCACACUGGGGCUGAGACACGGCCCAGACUCCUACGGGAGGCAGCAGUGGGGAAUUUUGGACAAUGGGCGAAAGCCUGAUCCAGCCAUGCCGCGUGUCUGAAGAAGGCCUUCGGGUUGUAAAGGACUUUUGUCGGGGAGGAAAUCCCCAGCGUUAAUACCGCUGGGGGAUGACAGUACCUGAAGAAUAAGCACCGGCUAACUACGUGCCAGCCGCCGCCGUAAAAC
rnacentral:rRNA from 1 species